UGCGCGGUGGUGUAACGGGAACAUCCAGGUCUCAUAAGCCUGGGCUUCGGGUUCGAAUCCCGGCUGCGCAAC
rnacentral:tRNA from 1 species